rnacentral:rRNA from 1 species
CCUACGGGAGGCAGCAGUGAGGAAUAUUGCACAAUGGGGGAAAUCCUGAUGCAGCAACGCCGCGUGAGUGAAGAAGUAUUUCGGUAUGUAAAGCUCUAUCAGCAGGGAAGAAAAUGACAGUACCUGACUAAGAAGCCCCGGCUAACUACGGGCCAGCAGCCGCGGUAAUACGGAGGGGGCAAGCGUUAUCCGGAUUUACUGGGUGUAAAGGGAGCGUAGACGGCUGCGCAAGUCAGAAGUGAAAGCCCGGGGCUCAACCGCGGGACUGCUUUUGAAACUGUGUAGCUAGAGUGCAGGAGAGGUAAGUGGAAUGCCUAGUGUAGCGGUGAAAUGCGUAGAUAUUAGGAGGAACACCGGUGGCGAAGGCGGCCUGCUGGACCGUAACUGACGUUGAGGCUCGAAAGCGUGGGGAGCAAACAGGAUUAGAUACCCUAGUAGUC